GCCCGGGUGGAGGAACUGGUAGACUCGGGGGAUUUAAGAUCCUCUGCUUUAGAGCGUGUGGGUUCGAAUCCCACCCCGGGCACAA
rnacentral:tRNA from 1 species